rnacentral:rRNA from 1 species
AUACGCUGCGAUAAGCUACGGGGAGGUGCGAAUACCCUUUGAUCCGUAGAUUUCCGAAUGGGGAAACCCACCUAAGGUACUUGGAAAAUCAGAGCAGCAGGGUGAUGCGAAAUCCUGCAAAGGAUUGAGCGUGAGGCGACGAUCUCUUCGAGAUCGCGCUGUCUUGCUGCUGUGGUUUCCAAGUAUCGAUAAUAGGUAACUUACCCUGAAUACAUAGGGGUAAAGUGGCGAACGCGGGGAACUGAAACAUCUAAGUACCCGUAGGAAAGGACAUCAACCGAGACUCCGGAAGUAGUGGCGAGCGAACCCGGACCAGGCCAGUGGCGAUUGAGAGACAAGCGGAACCUUCUGGAAAGUAGGGCCAUAGUGGGUGACAGCCCCGUACGCGUAAUGCAAUCAAUCGUCCUCGAGUAAGGCGGGACACGUGAAAUCCUGUCUGAAAUUGGGGGGACCACCCUCCAAGCCUAAGUACUCGUGCAUGACCGAUAGC